CUUGAACUGAAAUUUCUGUCAUGUGUGUGGGAAUAAAUGUUUCCUCUUGCUUGCCCUAUUGACAGGAUGAUAUCAGGAGCAGUUAGCAGUGCUAUGGAAUAGGGAUAUAAAUCUUCACUUGUCUUCACAGGCAACAGUGCCAAAUUGCAACAUUCUUCUCCUCAAAGGCAAUGGCAGUGAAAAUAGGAAAACAAUCAUCUUGAAUGGAUUAAACCUCGCCCUCACAUUCUAUUCUGUCUAAAGAACACUUGAAAGCUCACACUUCAUAAAUCAAAGUCUGGCAUCACUCUGCCCACAGCUGCACACAUUUUGCAAAGCUUCAAUGGAGCCCCAGCUUUCUUGAAAUAAAAGAAAAUGAAAAAGAAAGAAGCAUUGACUAAUUUCUUCCAUUAAUAUGCAUUGUAUAAGUGCAUUUCACAUUGUGACUAGCGACAAGUCAGUGGAAUAUUCAUCAAAAAUCCAUCUGAGACCUUUUUUUAGAAAAAAAAUCUGACUAUUUAAUAUUUCAUCAGCUUAAUUUAAUGGGUAAAUUAAUUAUUUAUCAUUCCCACUAUGAUGAGGAAUCCAUUAUUAAUCUGUGUCAAUAAAAAAAUGGAGCUACCUGUUUUUUUUGGUUUUCUGUUUUGUUUUGUUCUGUUUGGUUGGUAAAAACCACAGCAUAGUAUGUUAGAAGUUGCCACUAAAAAUGACAGCAUGGUAAAAUCAAGCGUAAAAUCAUUGUGUUAUGUAUUCUCUCUAUCCUCCUAGGUCUUAU